CAAGGUCGACUCCUUGCCGUUUCUAAAAGUGAUUAAGCCAUACCAACCUUAGAUGCUUUCAUUAUUGUUUUGGUGGUAUGUAAUACAGUUUAGGGUUGGUGCAGAGUGCAGCUGCGGUCAUGAAAAAUUUGUCUCGUUAAUACAUUAGAUACCAUCUUAAUAAGUGAAGCCGAAUUUAGUACUUAGAAUGUUGGGCAGAGGUUAAAGCAUAUGAUUGAGUUUUG
rnacentral:lncRNA from 1 species